rnacentral:rRNA from 1 species
CUACGGAGGGAGCCAGCGUUGUCCGGAAUCACUGGGCGUAAAGGGCGUGUAGGCGGGCUGGCAAGUCAGAUGUGAAAGUCCUCGGCUCAACCGGGGAAGUGCAUUUGAAACUGGCAGACUUGAGUACUGGAGGGGGUGGUGGAAUUCCCGGUGUAGAGGUGAAAUUCGUAGAUAUCGGGAGGAAUACCGGUGGCGAAGGCGACCACCUGGCCAGAUACUGACGCUGAGGUGCGAAAGCGUGGGGAGCAAACAGGAUUAGAAACCCCAGUAGUCC